rnacentral:rRNA from 1 species
AGUGAACGCUGGCGGUAGGCCUAACACAUGCAAGUCGAACGGCAGCACAGUAAGAGCUUGCUCUUACGGGUGGCGAGUGGCGGACGGGUGAGGAAUACAUCGGAAUCUACUUUUUCGUGGGGGAUAACGUAGGGAAACUUACGCUAAUACCGCAUACGACCUACGGGUGAAAGCAGGGGAUCUUCGGACCUUGCGCGAUUGAAUGAGCCGAUGUCGGAUUAGCUAGUUGGCGGGGUAAAGGCCCACCAAGGCGACGAUCCGUAGCUGGUCUGAGAGGAUGAUCAGCCACACUGGAACUGAGACACGGUCCAGACUCCUACGGGAGGCAGCAGUGGGGAAUAUUGGACAAUGGGCGCAAGCCUGAUCCAGCCAUACCGCGUGGGUGAAGAAGGCCUUCGGGUUGUAAAGCCCUUUUGUUGGGAAAGAAAAGCAGCAGGUUAAGACCCCGCUGUUCUGACGGUACCCAAAGAAUAGCACCGGCUAACUUCGUG